rnacentral:siRNA from 1 species
UCACUCGGUGGUCAUUGGAUU